rnacentral:rRNA from 1 species
GUGGGGAAUCUUGCGCAAUGGGCGAAAGCCUGACGCAGCGACGCCGCGUGAGUGAUGAAGGCCUUCGGGUUGUAAAGCUCUGUGGAGGGGGACGAAUAAGGGUUGGCUAACAUCCAGCUCGAUGACGGUACCCCUUUAGCAAGCACCGGCUAACUCUGUGCCAGCAGCCGCGGUAAGACAGAGGGUGCAAACGUUGUUCGGAAUUACUGGGCGUAAAGCGCAUGUAGGCGGUUCGUAAAGUCAGAUGUGAAAGCCCUGGGCUUAACCCAGGAAGUGCAUUUGAAACUCACGAACUUGAGUCCCGGAGAGGAAGGCGGAAUUCUCGGUGUAGAGGUGAAAUUCGUAGAUAUCGAGAGGAACAUCGGUGGCGAAGGCGGCCUUCUGGACGGUGACUGACGCUGAGAUGCGAAAGCGUGGGGAGCAAACAGG